rnacentral:piRNA from 1 species
UAGCAGGAGUUCUCCAUGGCUGUGCUUCGU